GACCGGAGACGUCAAGAUUCGUUAACGAGAAUCUGUUUGCUAAUCUCAAGAGAUUUGCGUCUGAGGAUCAAGAUAUGUCUGCGAAUGUUAUCAAGAUAUGAGUUUCUUUCGGUUGUAAGAGAACAAUGGCGGAUAUGCCCGCAAAUAGCGUCUGUGGGGACGUGCUGUUCGGUUGUAAGAGAACAAUUGCGAAUGCUGGAGAUUUGAGAGUGGUGUUAGGGAGAGCUGAUCGAGAAUGCAGGCGGUGAACGGUUAAAAAGCCAGAAGUCGAAGGUUACCGAAAUUCAAAAUGUGCUGAUUUGGCAAAUUUGGUAAACGUGGCGGCUCUCAAGGUGGCAAUGGACGGUGCAAAAUCGGUAA